CCAUGAUCUUCUGACUUCCAGGCCAGUGCUCUAUCCACUCCACCAUGGUGCUUAUUGAAUGUUUACUGUGUGCAGAGCACUGUGCUAAGCGCUUGGGAGAGACAGACAGAUUCCCUGCCCACAGCGAGCUCACAGUCUAGAGGGGGAGACAGACAUUAAUAGAAAUAAAUAAAUUAUCGAUCUGGACAUAUGCCCUCUCUCCUCACGUCCCCUGCUCUCUCCCCUCCCUUGUCCUCUUGACUCUCUUCUCCAGCCUUUCCCUGCCCUUUUGGCUCCCCUCCUCUUCCUCCUCCUCCCCAGCUGGGAACAGUUAUCCGGAGAAGAUGGCCAGCAGAAGGACGGGAAGGACAACUUCGAGCUCCGUGUCCGGGUCUUCACCCUAUCCCCCAAUCCCGACCCCUGACCCCCAGCAGGCCUAUAGUGGAACUUGCUUCUUCACCCAAGCUUCCAUGGAACAAUGACAAUAAACCUUCCUCACCACCAUUUUCCAGCAGUGUUUGCAGCUGUCUGCACGACUCAAGAUAUUCCAGAAGAAGAAGCAAUUUUGGUGCUAUGCACAGGGCAGAGAACUUCGCUAGAUACAAUACCAUUCAUCCCUCUCAAAUGCUGUAACAGGAGAAACAUCCUUUAUGUGGUAAAGAAUUCACGUGUCCGGAUUGCAGCCAAGACUUCCGGCGUGAGCAGAUCUGCCUCUCCCACAUUUGCUUCUUUCAUACCCAAGAGAAAAGUCCCUUCCCACAUUGGAACCUUUGGACCAGAGGGUCCUGAAGAGUGGGUCUCUAGAGAAGG
rnacentral:lncRNA from 1 species